rnacentral:rRNA from 1 species
GAUGAACGCUGGCGGCGUGCCUAAUACAUGCAAGUCGAGCGAACGGACGAGAAGCUUGCUUUUCUGAUGUUAGCGGCGGACGGGUGAGUAACACGUGGAUAACCUACCUAUAAGACUGGGAUAACUUCGUGAAACCGGAGCUAAUACCGGAUAAUAUUUUGAACCGCAUGGUUCAAAAGUGAAAGACGGUCUUGCUGUCACUUAUAGAUGGAUCCGCGCUGCAUUAGCUAGUUGGUAAGGUAACGGCUUACCAAGGCAACGAUGCAUAGCCGACCUGAGAGGAUGAUCGGCCACACUGGAACUGAGACACGGUCCAGACUCCUACGGGAGGCAGCAGUAGGGAAUAUUGCGCAAUGGGCGAAAGCCUGACGGAGCAACGCCGCGUGAGUGAUGAAGGUCUUCGGAUCGUAAAACUCUGUUAUUAGGGAAGAACAUAUGUGGAAGUAACUGUGCACAUCGUGACGGUACCUAAUCAGAAAGCCACGGCUAACUACGUG